rnacentral:rRNA from 1 species
AUGGAACCUACCGAUAUUUUAGCACUCUUCAAGUACCAUUCCUUUUCUGGAGCAGAAACGGCAGACCAGAGGUUACGUGAGCAGCUGGAAACUAUUGCAGAGAAGCUUGCUAAAAAAUUUGGAAGAUCUCCUCUGGCAGCAAAAACUGUGGGUUUACAGCUCGGCAGGAAAAAGGAUAAGGCUGAAUGGGAAAAUGCUCUAAGGAUUGACAACUUAAGUGAUCCCACUAAAGCACUUCUGUGGAGUUACCAGAAGUUAGAUCCAAGUCUGCAGAGGUGUUUUCUAUAUUGCAAUUUAUAUCCAAAAGGCUACAAUUAUAAAAUUAAGGAGUUGGUUCACCUGUGGAUGGCAGAGGGACUUAUUGAUUCGAGCAAUGUGGACAAGAGAACAGAAGAUAUGGGAAAGGAUUGCUUUAUUGAGAUGGCCAAUGUUUCAUUCUUUCAACGAGUUUAUAAUAUGUACACUGGUACGUCCUAUGUUAUGCAUGAUCUCAUUCAUGAUAUGGCACAGUCACUCUCCAAAGAAGAUUGCUAUAGACUGGAUGAUGAUAAGGUGACAGAAAUACCCUGCACUAUCCAGCAUUUAUCUAUUUGUGUUGAGAGUAUACAAAAGCACAAGCAAAGCAUUUGCAAGCUACAUCAUUUGCGCACUGUUAUCUGCAUUCAUCCGCUGAUAGAUGAAGUAAAUGAUGUUUUUAUUGGGCUAUUGGAGAAUUUGAAGAAGUUACGUGUACUGUCUUUGUCAUUUUACAAUAGUUGGAAGUUGCCAGAAUCAGUUGGUAAGCUGAAGCAUCUUCGCUAUUUGAACAUCAGCAACACAUGGAUUUCUGAAUUGCCAAGAUCAUUGUGUACUCUUUACCAUUUACAAUUCCUUCAUUUCAGUGACAAAGUUAAGAGUUUGCCGGACAAAAUAUGCAAUUUAAGUAAGUUGUGUUAUCUCGAAGGAAUCAGUCACAGAGGCAAGCAUGUGCAUGAUCUGCCUCAAAUCCCUUACAUAGGCAAGUUAACCUCGCUCCAAGGACUUCAUAAUUUUUCCGUGCAAAAGCAGAAGGGAUUUGAGUUGUGCCAGCUUAGGGACAUGAACGAGCUUGGUGGCUAUUUGAAUGUGACGAAUCUUGAAAACGUCACUGCAAAGGAGGCCUUGGAGUCAAAGCUUCAUCUGAAAAGUCAUCUUGAAAGCUUGCGCCUUGAAUGGAGUUCCAACAAUGACAUGACUACUAAUAGUUUACAUCUGGAGAUAUUGGAAGGUCUAAUGCCACCGACUCAACUUGGGAGUCUUACUAUUAAAGGCUACAGAUCUAUAAAAUAUCCAGGCUGGUUCCUUGAGGGUUCUUAUUUUCAGAAUUUAGAAUCUUUUGCACUUGUUAAUUGCAGUGCAUUACAAGGCCUGCCAUCUAAAGUAUUUGGGAAUUGCUCCUCACUUGUCCUCACGAAUAUCCCAAACCUGGUAACGUUACCAUCUCUUCCUGCAGGUCUUAAAGAUUUAAAGAUUGAGGAAUGUCCACUGCUUGUAUUUAUCUCCAGCGACGAGCUAGAACAACAAGACCAGAGGGAUAACACUUUGAUGACAGACUGGUUGGUAUCGCAGCUUUCUUCCAUGUGGGAGGUGGAUUCAGAAUCAGAAAUCAGGAAGAUACUAUCUGCUGAACAUUCAUCUGUGAAGCGGUUGGUGAUUUCGAUGGAUGCUGAUAUGUCUCAGCUUCAAAUAAUUGAAUGUGCUCUAGAAAGAGGAUUGGGAAAAGAGGAUACCAUCAAGACAUGGAUAUGGUGCCAUGAGGAGAGGAUAAGACUCAUUUGUACAAGGAACAUCGGCAUGCCACUGGUUCCACCAUCAAGGCUUUGUCGGCUUGACCUUUCUUCAUGCAUUAUUACAGAUGCAGCAUUAGCUAUUUGCCUUGAAUGUCUCACUUCACUGAGACAUUUGUCAUUAAAAGAGAUUAUGACUUUAACUACACUUCCAUCACCAGAUGUCCUCCAACAGUUGACAAAGCUUCAUUGCUUGCACAUCGACUCAUGCUGGUACCUUAGAGCAUUAGGGGGGUUACGAGCUGCUACCGCUCUUUCAGGAAUUUCAUUACGGAGCUGCCCUUCUUUAGACUUGACACGUGGGUCAGAGUUUUUGCCAUUGUCCCUUGAGAGUGUCUUCAUACAACAUUGUUUGGUUGCAGCUGAUCUCUUCAGUAGUGACUUGCCGCACCUGAAACAUCUUGGCAUGAUUUGGUGCAGAACUUCUUCAUCGUUGUCGAUUGGUCAUUUAACCUCCCUUAAAUCAUUAUCACUACACAAUCUGCAGCACUUGUGCUUUCUUGAAGGCUUGUCUUCGCCACUAUUGGAUGCACAUUUUACAAAUGUCCCGAACCUCAGUAUGAAUUGCAUAUCACAGCUGCGUGUUGAGAAUUCCCUCUAUGUUAGCAGCCCUGUAAUGCUCAACCACAUGCUCCUAUCUGAAGGUUUUACAGUUCCAGGAACUCUCGCUAUUUCAGAAUGCAAGGAGCGAUUCUUUUCGUUUGAAGAAUCAGCAGAUUUGUCAUCUGUCGACCGCUUGUUAUUUAUGAAUUGUGAAAUCAGUUCAUUGCCAGAUUUGAAGUGCUUUUCAUGUCUGACGAUGCUCCAAAUUAUUCGAUGCCCCAAUCUAUCAUUUUUACCAGAUUUGCCAUCCUCCCUCUACUGCAUAUGUGUGAGUGGUUCUGAACUCUUGAAGAAGAGUUGUCAAUCACCUCAUGGUGAAAGCUGGCCAAAAAUUGAGCAUAUCCGUUCAAAAUAUUUUAAUUAA